ACUCAAUAGAUACCCGGGUAGUCCUGGCAGUAAACGGUGCGCGUUUGGUGUGGGAGGAUUCGACCCCUUCUGUGCCGGAGCUAAACGCGUUAAACGCGCCGCCUGGGGAGUACGGUCGCAAGAUUAAAACUACAAAGAAAUUGACGGGGGCCCGCACAAGCGGUGGAGUAUGUGGCUUAAUUCGAUGCAACGCGAAGAACCUUACCUAGCCUUGACAUGCAUCUCUAAAUCGGUGAAAGCCGGCGAGUGUAGCAAUACACAAUUUGCACAGGUGCUGCAUGGCUGUCGUCAGCUCGUGUCGUGAGAUGUUGGGUUAAGUUCCCGCAACGAGCGCAACCCCUGUGAACUGUUGCCACCUACCUUUGGGUAGAGCACUCUGUUCAGACUGCCCUGUGAAACGGGGAGGAAGGUGGGGAUGACGUCAAGUCAGCAUGGCCCUUACGGCUAGGGCUGCACACGUACUACAAUGCUCAGUACAGAAUGAACCGAAACCGCGAGGUGGAGGAAAUCCAUAAAACUGAGCCCAAUUCGGAUU
rnacentral:rRNA from 1 species